rnacentral:rRNA from 1 species
AUUCUGAGAUAUUUGUUGCAGAUCACAACCGCAUCCAAACCUGCGAUAAGAGAAUAAUAUUAAAUUCAUACCUUUAAACCUGCGGUAUUCUGCCAAUAUCCACUGUCAUCAUCGAACCCUUGAUUUAUUGAGUAAAUUAAACUUGAAUAUCUGAGGAUUCUGGUCUGGAUUAGGUUGGCAAUCAAAAUGAUCUUAAAGAAUAAUAGUGCCAAAAUUUAAAAUAUUCGAACGAAAUCGGGUAUUUCUGGG